CAAACACCGCCGCUACUACAAGUCCCAUAAUGCAUCGCCGCGUUGUCAUUCGGCGGUUCCCUACUCUUCAGCUUCCAUCUGUGGCGCCUUCCUCUUCUCUUUGGCGUGGAGCUUCCGCUUCUCCUCUGCUGCCGUGGCGCUCAGGCCGAUCUCGGCGAACGGGUCCGAAAAACGGCCGCGCUCGUCGCCAGUCGUCUAGAAAUGACAGGAGAUGAAGAGACGGUCAGAAGGUGCAUGAAGAUGGUGUUGAUUGUGAGAAGGACUGGAGACCGCACCCACCUGUGUGCUGUUACCAUGGCUACUCAGGUCGGAGUUCAUUGACCUGAAUGAAUGUGAAGAGGAACUGCCGUUCAUGAGAGGACUGGGGACGUCUUACCUUUGACGUGGCUGACAGUGGGGAUGAUGCCUUUCAUCUUGAAGUACUCGUCCGUGUCCGGAUCCACAACCAGCAGCCAGGUCUCGUCACCUCCUUUCUUUAUAAAGGCCACCACCUCGCCGUGACGCAAGCUCUCGAUGUUCACGCCAUUCACCUGAAGGGAAACCACAAACUCAACACUAGUUCCCCCUGUCCAAUGGGGGGUCUUUGACUAGCGUGUUUGCAAUCGGUCCUUUAUAAAAGCAGAGCAGGGGCGCCCACACUUACAUACUUUAAUUUUGCAGCAGGUCCUCAAAAACUGCAGAACAUCCCUGUCAUAUAGAGGAUCUUUGACUAGUAUUUUUGCAGAUGAUUCUCAAAGACAGCAGACAAUUCCUGUCAUAUGGGAUCUUUGACUAACAUUUUUGCAGUUGUUCCUCAAAAACUGCCAAACAUUCCUGUCGCGAAGGGGAUCUUUGACAAGCGUUUUUGCAGUAGGUCCUCAAAAACAGCAGACAAUUCCUGUCCCAGAUGAUCUUUGACUAAUAUUUUUGCAGUAGAUCCUCAAAAACGGCAAAACAUUCCUGUCACACAGUGGAUCUCUGACAAGCGUUUUUGCAGCAGGUCCUCAAAAACAGCAGAGCAGAGCACUCCUGUCAUAUAGAGGAGACUUGACAAGCGUUUUUGCAGAUGAUUCUCAAAGACAGCAGACAAUUCCUGUCAUACCUUUGACUAACAUUUUUGCAGUAGAUCCUCAAAAACUGCCAAACAUUGCUGUCGCAAAGGGGAUCUUUGACAAGCGUUUUUGCAGUAGGUCCUCAAAAACAGCAGAGCAGAGCACCCCUGCCAUAUAGAGGAGACUUGACUAACCUUUUUGCAAAUAAUUCUCAAAAACAGCAGACAAUUCAUUCACAGAUGAUCUUUGACUGAUAUUUUUUGCAGUAGAUCCUCAUGAACAGCAAAAAAUUCCUGUCACACAGUGGAUCUCUGACAAACGUUUUUGCACCAGGUCCUCAAAAACAGCAGAGCAAAGCACUCCUGUCAUAUGGAGGAGACUUGACAAGCGUUUUUGCAGAUGAUUCUCAAAGACAGAAGAAAAUUCUUGUUAUACGUGAUCUUUGACUAACAUUUUUACAGUAGAUCCUCAAAAACUGCAAAACAUUCCUGUCACACAGGGGAUUUUAUAGAGAUUUCACUAGCGGUUUUUGCAGAGGUUUGUUGGGCUGAAAACUAGUCUGUGCACUCAAAAAGUUUGGGGACCACUGGUUUAGAGGAUGUUCUAUAAGGUAGUUUGUAGUUGGGAGUAAUGGAAGCAGAGUUAAAAAGAAAGAAAGAAAAGAAAAACUAAAACAAUGUAUGUUUAGUCGUUUUCUCUAAAAUGGGUUGAGUCACUUUUUCAUUUGUCCACUAGAGGGAGACAAAGCUCUAGCCAUCUUUUUCAGUGUCUACGUAGGGACUCUGAUGCUGAUUACGACUGACUUGCAAGAGACAGGGUACACCCGUACUGGUCACCAGUCAGUCACAUGACACAUAUAGAUUAUAGAUACAAACAUUAGGCAGCCGUGUGACAUUUGGUGGUCUAGACUUUGGCCUCUCUGUGGCAGGCAGUUUGACAACAUGCACAGUUAGCCAUGUACACAAAUUAUUAAUGUCUCUCCUAGGUUUCAAACCUGGUGUCACAUGUCUUGUGUCCUGAAGGGGGUAGCGCUGGUGUAAAAAAAAAAAAGAUAAAAAUGAGCACUGAGAAAGAUUUAACAGGUCAUUCAUGGGGGGCAAAGUGGAUCGCAUAAAGAUUGACAUGUCAGGUCAUCUGUUUUUCAGACUACCAUGUUUUUAUUCAGCCCAACAACAACAACAGGUGUCAUGUUUUUGUGCAGCGCUUCAUUAACACGCUAUCCCACACAUGACAAUACACUCUGCCAUAAUUAAUAUGGGCUGGAGGAACAGUGAACAGGUCUGCUUCUCUGGGGAAUCCUCAGGAAACACCCAAGCUGUGUGUGUGUGUGAGAGAGAUUCACUUGUCAACAUAUACAGCUUUUUCAUUACGAAUGCUGAGCGUUCCCUGCAAAAAUGUAAGAAAUAGCAAAGAACACUGAAUGUUUGGAGCUUUUUUCAACACGAUGAUAUGUUAUUGCAAGUCUGCCAUCUGAUCUACAACCAGAGAGGGCAAAGGUCAUGGGAAUGAGGGGUAAUGAAGAUGCUGUGUGACUAAAAAAUGCUUAUGAUGAUAAUUUAUUAAGGCCAUUUGGGGAGCUGUAUGUAUACAGUAUACAGGUUAGGAUUUGCAGUACUACUGGUUGCAAAGAGGUGGCGAAAAGCCAAAGAAUAAGCUCACGAUAUGUGUUCUUCCGAGGUUUUGUGCCGCAUUGGAGGUGUAUUUUCCCAGCUAUGUUUUUUUUUAAGGAGAUUCCUAGAAACACGUUAAACACUUUAAAAACAGAUAGCGACCUUUGACAAGCAUUUUUCCAAGAUCUUCAAAAACAGCAGCAUGCUCCUGUCAUACGAGGAUCUUACACUCGCGUUUUAGCAGUCGAUCCUUAAAAACAGCAGCGUGCUCCUGUCACUUUUGCAGUAGGUACUUAAAAACAGGUUAUAAUAUAUAGAGGAUCUUUGACUAGCUUUUUUUGGUUUGAUUUUAAAGCUAGUCAUCAAAAACAGCACAUUUCUCUUGUUAUAUAGAGGAGUUCUGAGUAGCAUAUUUGCAGUAGAUACUUAAAAACAGCAGCGUUAUAAUGUAUAGAAGAUAUUUGAUUACGGUAGAUUUUUUGUUUGUUUUUACAGCUGGUCAUCAAAAACAGCACACUUCUCUUGUUAUAUAGAGAAGCUCUAAGUAGCGUUUUUGCAGUAGUUACAAUGAUAUAAUGUAUAGAUAUAAUGUAUAGAAGAUAUUUGACUAUGGUAGAUUUUUUUGUCUGUUUUUACAGCUGGUCAUCAAAAACAGCACACUUCUCUUGUUAUAUAGAGAAGCUCCGAGUAGCAUUUUUGCAGUAGAUACAAUGAUAUAAUGUAUAUAUAUAUAUAAAGUAUAGAAGAUAUUUGACUACGGUAGAUUUUUCGUUUGUUUUUACAGCUGGUCAUCAAAAACAGCACAUUUCUUUUGUUAUAUAAGAAGCUUGGAGUAGCAUUUUUGCAGUAGAUACAAUAAUAUAAUGUAUAGAUAUAAUGUAUAGAAGAUAUUUGACUAUGGUAGAUUUUUUGUUUGUUUUUACAGCUGGUCAUCAAAAACAGCACAUUUCUCUUGUUAUAUAGAGAAGCAUUGACUAGCAUUUUUGCAGUAGAUACAAUGAUAUAAUGUAUAGAUAUAAUGUAUAGAAGAUAUUUGACUACGGUAGGUUUUUUUGUUAGUUUUUACAGCUGGUCGUCAAAAACAGCAGAGUGCUCCAGUCAUAUAGUAGAUCUGUGGCAUCAGACUGCUCCUAAGGGAGGAUCUUUGACUCGCAUAUUUGCACCAGAUCCUCAAAAACAGCAUUGCACUCGUAUAGAGGACAUAUAGAGGAUCUUUCAGUAGUGUUUUUGCAGUAGGCCCAAAAACACACAAAAACAAAGAAUAGGCAAAUAAAUAGCAGUUAGGUUUUGUGCUACAUCGGAGGUAUUUCCGUCCCCAAAAUGUUUGCAGUUGUGUAAGUCAUAAUAAUCCUUUCGUCACCCUACCUCAAUAAUCCUGUCCUGAGGUCGCAGGCCAGCCUGGUCCGCGGGCGAGCCCGCAUCCAGCGAGCGGAUGUACUGGCCAGGUCUGGACCGAUGGCUGUGUAGGUUGAAUCCGUAGCCCGUCUCCGCCCGCACCAGGUGGCACAGUCGAGGCGCAAACUCCGUCGGGUCUCCGUGGAGCCGGGAUCGGGCCUGGGUGGGGACUUCUGCCUGGGGAGGGACCUCCUGCAAGAUUUAGAUUUGAUGUGCUGCAUCAUUAUCAUUCUCCAUUCAACCUCGACAUGAAAAUAGACCAUAGUCCUUACUUGAUCAUUUGGAUUCAAUGGCUUAGAAGAAAAGUGUAACUCACUGAAUAACGCUGCCUCAUGUCAGGUGUGUGUGUCACCAUCGGUUCCUCAUUUGUUCUCUAUUCUUUCUUUCAUUUACAAGCUCUAUUUUGGUUCUCAUUUUCAGCACAUCACUGUCAGCGUGGAUGAGGACAUUUAUAGCGUUUGUAUAAUUGCGCCUUCAUCUCUGCUGUGGUCUACCGCCUACACACCGCCGAUAUCACCUGCCAGUUACCUCACAUUCUGUGCAGCAUACAUGAGGAUGACAUGUUAUUGUAUUUGUCCUUUAUUUCUAUGUGGAUGCAUGCUUGGAGUCCAUUGGAGUUCACUUCAUCUUAGCUCAGCAUAAUCUGAAACAAAGAACAGUGGUCUGGCUCGUGUUUGGAGCGGCAAAGUGAUAGCUGUGUCAGCUACGUGGACAGCAAAAAAAUAAAAUAAAAUCCAAACCUACAUGGCCCUGUGUGAAAAAGUGAUUGCCCCCGUGUUUGAGAUAACUUGCAAUGAGUCUCUUACAGCAGUGGAGGAGUUUUUUUUGCAGAAUUGUUGUCAUUCAGCCACAUUGGAAGGUUUUUCCAGGAUGAAGCGCUUUUUUAAGGUCAUGCCACAGCAUCUCAAUAGGAUUCGGGUCAGGACUUUGACUAGGCCACUCCUAAGUCUUCAUUUCGCUUUUCUUCAGCCAUUCAGAGGUGGACUAGCUGGUGUGUUUUGGAUCAUUGUCCUGCUACAGAACCCAAGUUAGUUUCAGCUCAAGGUCACCAAGAGAUGGCUAGAUGGUGAUAGACAGCACAAUUUAUUGCUGCUUCCAGGGCCUGAAGCAACAAAACAGCCCCAGACCAUCACACUACCACCACCAUAUUUUACUGUUGGUAUGAUGUUCUUUUUCUAAAAUGCUGUGUUAUUUUUAAGCCAGAUACAAUGGGACACACACCAAGUUCAUCUUUUGUCUCGUCAUGUAAGUUUGGAUUUUUUUUCUCCCUUUAAAAAAAAAAAAAGCAUUUUGUGUUCAGUUGUAUUGUUAUUGACUAAUAUUUAAUAUUGUUUGAUGAUGUGACAAACAUGCAAAAAAAAAAAAAAAAUCAGAAAAGGGAAAACACUUUUUCAUACCACUGUACCUGUACCUGUACUGUCAUUUUUACGGGAAUAAAAAAGUGUUCAUUCUUGAAGAAAAAAGUAGUACUAUUAUAAUAAAUAGAAGUUGUAAUUUUCGGUAAUUCUAUGAGGGGGGAAACCAGUAAUAUUACAAGAAAUCACUGUCAUUUUCACAGGAAGAAAGCAGGGACUGAUUUUGGUACGCUUCCCAACAUCGAACAACUGUGAAGAAUUGUCAA